rnacentral:rRNA from 1 species
AGCUGAGAGGUGGUGCAUGGCCGUCGUCAGUUCGUACUGUGAAGCAUCCUGUUAAGUCAGGCAACGAGCGAGACCCACGUCCACAGUUGCCAGCAUACCCUCCGGGGUGAUGGGUACACUGUGGAGACCGCCGCUGCUAAAGCGGAGGAAGGAGUGGGCAACGGUAGGUCAGUAUGCCCCGAAUCUCCCGGGCUACACGCGGGCUACAAUGGUUGGUACAAUGGGCAUCUACCCCGAAAGGGGAAGGAAAUCUCUUAAAGCCAAUCGUAGUUCGGAUUGAGGGCUGCAACCCGCCCUCAUGAAGCUGGAAUCCGUAGUAAUCGCGUUUCAACAGAACGCGGUGAAUACGUCCCUGCUCCUU